AUGAUUGUGCCAAAUUUGAUUUAUAAUCUCCCUAAAAAAUUACAGUACUCGCAUCAAUUGUUCGCUGAUUCUGAAAUGCCACCUGCUACAAAUCUACAAUCUGACAAUCCCAAAGAAAACCUAAAUAAUAAUAUUAUAUGUAACUCCCCUAAUUCUGAGUUUCAGAAUAUGCCACUCCAUGUGUCACUGAAAAGUGGGCAUGGGCCCUGCAUGUCAGUGAUCUUGAAGGGGUCACAUCAUGAAAUGCAACUUAAGAGGAGUGACAUUAAAAAUCAUUCAAACAAAGAUAAACUAUUACACUAG
rnacentral:rRNA from 1 species